UGCUGGGGGAGGCCGAACUACGGUGGUUGUUCGGAUGUGGAGAAGAGGCUGAAGGAAGAAGAAAAGCCGAGAGGUAAAAAAGACUAAAAGAGUCCACAAUGGCACAAAACGAAACAAUUCGCGCGCGGAGUGGUUGAUUCUGAAAGGCGAGCGGAUUUAGUGCAAAAUCCUGAGAGCCGUAGAUUCGGUGGUAAAUUCUGAAAUCUCUCUGCUACACGGGCUCACCGGCUGCCGUAAGGCUCGCUUUGCCAGCGCCGAGCUCUCAUGCUCCAUGGCCCCCCUCGGCAACAGCUGCACCGGCGUUCCCACCAUGUUCUGCACUGCCCCCUCUGCCAUGCUCUAUCUCCCACUGCCACUUAUCCACGUGCGUGAUGUGUCCCAGCGCGACGUCUAGUCAGACCAUUAUCCGCCCCAACUUACGUGCCGGAGCAGCCUAGCAAAGCACAGAGUCACACGGAAGUACGGGUUCUCCGGGACACUGGGACUGAGGCACUCCGGCCAGGAGCAGCAGUAUAGCGCGAGGGGAGUGGAGCACUGCGACUGGGGCGCGCGCAGGCACACAUCCAUCCCCCCUCCUGCGAACCAGCGAACCCGCGAGGCGAGACAUGCUCCGCCGACUCGCCGCGCUCCCCCGCGGCGCCGCGGCCUCGGCUGCCUACCACUCGUCCGCGGCGGCCCGCGUGGGCGCGUCGUCCGCGUCCGCCUCCGUUCUCCCGGACAACCUUGACAGGGGCUCCGAGGCCUACGCGCGCAACGCCGCCGCCGUCGGGGGACUCCUCUCCGACCUGCGCGCCCGCGUCUCCCAGGUGCUGCGCGGGGGAGGCGCGGAGGCGGUGAGGCGGAACGCGGCGCGGGGGAAGCUGCUCCCGCGGGAUCGCAUCGACCGACUGCUCGAUCCCGGCGCGUCUUUCCUCGAGCUCUCCCAGCUUGCGGGUUCAGAUGUUUAUGAAGAAGCAUUACCAUCGGCGGGUAUAAUAACUGGCAUUGGACCUGUCCAUGGACGAUUAUGUAUGUUUGUGGCCAAUGACCCAACCACAAAGGGGGGCACAUACUAUCCUCUUACUGUCAAAAAGCAUCUGCGAGCACAGGAAAUAGCUUCUGAAUGUAAAUUGCCUUGCAUAUAUCUCGUUGACAGCGGAGGUGCUAAUCUCCCCAGGCAGGCUGAAGUUUUCCCUGACCGUGAUAAUUUUGGUCGAAUAUUCUACAAUCAAGCUAAGAUGUCUUCAGAUGGUAUCCCUCAGAUUGCAUUAGUUUUAGGUUCUUGCACUGCUGGCGGGGCUUAUAUUCCUGCAAUGGCUGAUGAGAGUGUAAUAGUUAAGGGAAAUGGAACUAUAUUUCUUGCCGGUCCACCUCUUGUAAAAGCUGCUACAGGAGAGGAGAUAUCCGCAGAGGACCUUGGUGGAGCAUCAGUGCAUUGUAAGGUAUCAGGAGUCUCUGAUCAUUUUGCACAAGAUGAACUUCAUGGGCUUGCGAUGGGGCGAAGCAUUGUGAAGAAUCUGCACUUGGCUGCUAAGGGAACAAAUAUGCAAAGUUCUUCUUACAAUUACCAAGAACCAUUGUAUGAUGUACAGGAACUUCGCUCCAUUGCACCAGCUGAUAUGAGGCAGUCUUUUGACAUUCGUUCAAUAAUAGCCCGUAUAGUUGAUGGAAGUGAAUUUGAUGAAUUCAAAAAAUUGUAUGGAACAACACUGGUGACUGGUUUUGCAAGGAUAUGCGGGCAGCCAGUUGGAAUUAUUGGAAACAAUGGCAUUCUGUUUACUGAGGCAGCACUGAAGGGUUCCCACUUCAUUGAAUUGUGUGCUCAGCGCAAUAUUCCUUUAAUUUUCCUUCAAAAUAUUACUGGGUUCAUGGUUGGGUCGAAGUCUGAAGCAAGUGGAAUCGCGAAAGCUGGAGCAAAGAUGGUAAUGGCGGUUUCCUGUGCCAAGGUUCCUAAAAUUACAAUAAUCGUCGGUGGAAGUUUUGGUGCUGGGAAUUAUGGAAUGUGCGGACGUGCAUACAGCCCAAACUUUUUGUUUCUUUGGCCCACUGCUAGGAUAUCUGUUAUGGGUGGCAUCCAGUGCCUGGUAAAGAAUCUCAGUAAUGUAUAUUGACAUUCAUUGCCAAUAUUUUGGUGCUUUGGAGAUGGCGAUAUUGCUAUUUGACUGCAUUUUUCUUGGUCCUUGAAGGUGUGAUAUCAGUUCCAACGCGUCAGAAAAUGGGAUGAGCAUUAACACUUAGCAUCUCAUCUCUUGUUUAGAGUUGCAGACACUAGCACUGCUGGAAUCUUUUUUCUUUUUCUUUUUUGACCGGGACUUGAGGGGGAGUUCCCUGAAGCAUUUAAUUAAUGAAAGAAAAAAAGAGCUUUAUGUACAAGCAGCGGGGACAAGAUUCUGUAAAGGAGCGCUUCCAAGCUGAGAAACUUUGAGGCUGCCGGUGUCCUUGCCCAAAUAGAAAAGAACAACAAAAAAAGACAAGGAGUGGAGUGGACCAAGGAUGAGGAAGAAGCCUUCAAAGCUAAAGUCUUGGAGGCUUAUGACAAAGAAGGAAGCCCAUACUACUCCACUGCU